rnacentral:tRNA from 1 species
AGGCGUGGAGCUCAGGUGGUUAGAGCGCACCCCUGAUAAGGGUGAGGUCGGUGGUUCAAGUCCACUCAGGCCUA